AAAAUUGUUUGGCCGAAUUACAGAAAUCAAAGGGAAAAAAUAAAAGGAAAACGUAAAUGCCUCCUUAAUGUUUGAAACACACCACCGAAGCCCCUUUAAUCUACAUAAAUCCAAAAUGUAAUUUCCUGAAAAUAAUGGGGAUUUACUGUAAUUUUCGAAAAAUCAAAUCACAUCUGGUGGGUCUCCCUCGUCGAACAAACCCUAGCCUGCGACGGUUCGCCGACCUCGCUUCUUCCUCGUUCCUCGCUUCUCUCUCUGUGGGAAACCCGUCGUAUUCCUCAUACUCAAUCUUCGUUUCUGCGUGCGUGUAUAUGCUUCUGGAUUUCCUCGCUUCUCUCUCUCUCUCUGGGAAAACCUUCCUCGUUUCUGCGUGCGUGUAUAUGCUUCUGAAUUCAUAUUGGGAACGGUGGUCUUGAGUGGAACUCAGGUGAUUGAAUUAUUAUUGUUGGUUGUUUUUUGUUGAAACUUCAAAGUUCAAAGUAUAGAAUGCCUCCGAAGUGUUCGAUGAAAUAUCUCAAUGUGGCUGUAUUUUUGUUAUGCUGCUUCUAUUGUUCGCUUUGUUUUUCAGAAAGCUCACAAUCAGCAAUUUCAUAGACUAGUCGAGUUUUAGAAUUUAAGUUCUCGAACUGUUCAAGGAAGUACCUUGAACAUACCACAACAGCAAAACAUAUAGAGAUUAGAGAAUCCUAAAAUAUGAACGAUUGCUAGAAGCUUAGAGCAUGUGACUUGACGCCAAAUAGAUUGAAAAAGCUCCCAUCUUGUCCAAAUACAAUUUAAUUUGGUAAAAUACAAAUGAAAGCAGCCUCAUUACAAAAAAACAACUACAACAGGGAUUUCCAGUUCCUCAGAAGAUAAGUUCGUCGGGUGAGGGAUAAGAGAUAUACAUGAGAGAGAUGAAGAAUGAGCAACAAGAUAGAGACGAGAGAGAAGUGUGGGAAGAGGGAUGUGAGGGACAACCAAGACGAACUCAACUGGGGCAGAUUGGAAGAAGAACUGGGGGUGGAGAGGAGUGUUGUUUUUUGGCUGUAGAAAGUGGAGGCUCAAGUGUGCUUGAGCAAAGCUUGUUAGUAUAACUGUUUGUUAAUAGACUUAUUUGAGUUUUACUUGAUCUGUUUGUGUUGUUGAGCUUCUUGUUAUUCCUUGUAUGCACAGACUGCACUUUGUAUUCACUUUCUUACCUCUUAAAAUGUCCAUAUUUCGAAAGAAAAGAGAGAGAGAGAGAGAAGAAAAAUAAUAGAUUACAAUUUGAGGUCAUUAUCCUAAUUACCAAAAACAAAAGGUUGAGGUCAUGUUGGUAGUUGUCACGAGGUUAUGUUUUUUACCCUGUGAUGGCACUAAAGUCUCGCACUUAGUCUCAGCCAAAACACCAACAAACACACACAAAUUUGAGGUUUAAUAAAGCAGAAACAACACACAUUAUUUAUGAGUCAAUACCAAACAUUUUAUAGCACCAACAAUUACAAGGAAUCUGCCAAGGGUUUCUUGCACAAAACAUACAUCUCUGGCUUCAAAAUCUGCCCAGGGCUUGCCUACUUUAUAGGCAGAACAUUCAGUUACAAAAACCAUUUAGGCAUGAUACAUGUCCUGGCAGUUGACAUCCUCAAACGCUAGGGAAUGCUGUUUCACACAAGCUGCACGAAAUCUACCAACAACUGCUAGGACAAGUGUCCCCAGAAGGCCUCUGGUAAACCAGUGUCCUCAAACACAAUUUCCAGCAAGUUCUUCCUUACAGAAUGGAACUAUGUGCAAGUCUUAACUACUUGUCUGCAUAACUGCUGCCUAGCCAAUGCUAGUGCUAGCCUUGGGUCCACGCCAAGCCACCCACGAACACGAACUGAUUGAUUCCCAUUAUUGUUCACAGCCUACACUGUCGUGCAUUCAUGAACAAUACUGCCUUGCGCCUUGCAUCUGUUUCACAGCGUCACUGUCUUGAACAUUCGCCACCUUGUAGCAUGCCUCCCUCAUACUUUUGCCAUCAGGAUGUAGUGCGGGUGUAAGGUGACAUCACACACCAACCCUUGGUCCGCGUCGACCAGACUAGGGUUUUUCUAACAAGUACAGUAGAGGAUGAGGAUAACAGGAGAAGGUAUAGGAUGUGCGUUUCUGAUUUCAACCUUAAAGACUAACGAAACUAAGACAUUUGCCAUUGGCUUUAAUGCAUUUUCUGGACAAUAUUUGCAUGGGUAUCGAUAAUAAUACCCAAUCUGUUCCAAACAGUCUGUCAGUAGAAGUAAAAAACUAUUAAGCGAGUUUAUCAAUUUUGUUCUCUCUCAUUACAGACAAUUUAUCC
rnacentral:lncRNA from 1 species